AGACCGAUAGCGAACAAGUACCGUGAGGGAAAGAUGAAAAGCACUUUGGAAAGAGAGUUAAACAGUAUGUGAAAUUGUUGAAAGGGAAACGAUUGAAGUCAGUCGUGUCUAUUGGACUCAGCCGGUUCUGCCGGUGUACUUCCUUUAGACGGGGUCAACAUCAGUUUUGAUCGCUGGAAAAGGGCAGGAGGAAUGUAGCACUCUCGGGUGAACUUAUAGCCUCUUGUCGUAUACAGUGGUUGGGACUGAGGAACGCAGCUUGCCUUUAUGGCCGGGAUUUAUCCACGUACAAGCUUAGGAUGUUGACAUAAUGGCUUUAAACGACCCGUCUUGAAACACGGACCAAG
rnacentral:rRNA from 1 species